rnacentral:misc_RNA from 1 species
AUUUGAUUAUUCUUCAUUAACAUACCAUAAUUAUAAUUUAAAAUUAAUUACUGGGGAUUUUAUAUAGUGCUUUCAAAGCAUAUGCUUCCUUCCCCCUCGUCUGGAGAUGUGACUCACCCCCAUAAUACAUAGAAUAACUAUAAACGACAUUUAGUGAACAUUAACUGCAUAAACGACACGAACUCUAUGAUGGCCGUCAGACCAAAUUACGUAUCCAAAAUGGUAUCCUUUGGAAGCUUUCCUGCCAUCAAACAAGACUCUAAACGAUGCCUUUCUCUUAUUCUCAUUAAAAUUGAUUUUCUUUGGAGAAACCUUUACUAGUAAUCCCCCUGGAGCAUGAACUCUGGAAUAAUAUGAGGCAUUUGCAGACCCCACAUUGGUCACCUUCCUUCUAAUGAUCUGCGCUGGGUGGUUUUGAUCGAGCUUGCCUAUGGAGAUUGAUGGGUAGUUGAUACUACUUGAAAUAAGCUCUUCGCGAGAUCCCUUUGGGCAUUUGAAUUUUGUCUUCGUCAUGUUCUUUACUGUUUCCUGUGGGUAUCCAUAAUAACAAAGGAAACGCAGAUAAUCUUUUUCUGUGGUUUCAAAGACUAGGCCUGGAUCGAGAGCUCUGGCUGGACUUAUUUCUCCCACACCACGUUCAUGUGGGUUUGAAAGAUAUCUUGAGGUGUUUGUCAAUGGCUUCCCAAUGUUGUUAUAAAUGGUCGCUGUUGUCAUGAGAGCUGAUCUGAUCAUUGAUGAACUCCAAUUGGGAUGCACUGCUUUUAUAAAUGCGGCAGUCCCUGAUACAUGGGGGCAAGCCAUGGAAGUUCCAGAUUUAAUGGCAAAAUUUGAUGUCCCACUGGGAAGACCUUCUUUAUCCUUCAAUGGAGGAAUUGCUGCCAAAAUGUCCACUCCUGGAGCCAUUAUAUCAGGCUUGAGAAUAUUUUCUGUGAAGUUUCCUGGGCCUCUUGAUGAGAAAGAUGCAACAACUGGCGAUGGUCUAAUCCCUAAGACGUCAACCGAUGGAAGAAUAGUUGCUACAGGUUUCUUGCUGAACUUCAUGUAGUUGAAGAUCAUAUGCCCUUCAUGCUUCUCAACUACAGUGAAAGGAAAGGAACCUGCAAAAUAAGUUCCAUCUUCUGGGUUUUCGCCAACUAAAAUCCACCCCUUGGCUACUGCAGAUGCCCUAUCAAAUGCGUGAAUAGUUCGGUCGUUAAUAACACAUAUGAUUAUCUUUCCUGAAGCUUUUGAGGAAUCUAACGAGUCUGGAACGCAAUUCCUUGCAUCUGAUGCAAGGGUUUUAUUAAUAGCAACGUGCUCUCCAAGUGCCAGCCGAUACAUCUUUGACCGAGUGAGAUUUGAAAAAUUAAUUGCAGAUCCCUACAGCAUUACAAGAACAUAAUUUCAGUCAUAGAUGUAUAUAUUCCUCAGAGUUAAAUACCAAAGUGCUCAAAUUAUAUUAACCAAAUUUUACUUUAAUAGUUAUUCCAUUGCCAAGGACCACCCUAGACUGAAACUCCCUAUCAAUACUAGAAGCUGCAACAGUAAGGAUCCAUGGAGCUGUGUGAGAAACCGUAUAUGCAUCCGGACCAAUAUUUCCAGCAGCACAAAUUACCAUCACCCCCAUUUGCUCAGCAUGGAAUGCUCCAAUGGCAACGGGGUCUUCUAAAAAUUCCUUCUGAAUUGUUGAGUUCAAUGAAAUUGAUAUUAUGUCAACUCCAUCCAUAGUAGCAUCAUCAAUGGCCUUCAUAGUAGCAGCACCUGAGCAACCAUUUUCUGAACAGACCUUAUAACUUGCAAUCCUAGCAGAAGGAGACCCACCUCUGGCUGUACCUCUUGCCAAACCGUAAAAACUAGCAUUUGCAACUGGCGAACCAGCUGCAGUAGAUGCAGUGUGUGUCCCAUGUCCCUCGGGAUCAUCCCUUGGUGAGUAUGGGAAACUUGACAGGACCUCAUAGAAUCUUGCACCAAUCAACUUCCUAUUACAACUAGACUUGUUGAAUUGAAAUCCCUCCAUGCAAACUCCUUUCCAUCUUGAAGGUAUUUGCCCCAUGUGGUCAUCAUUAAAACUUGGGGACUCAGGCCAUAUGCCUGUGUCUAUUAUUCCGAUUAUAACAUCAUGUGAUGAGUGAUUGUGUUGAUAAUAACCAAGCCUCGAUCCAAUGCCAGAUUGAGCAUCCAAGAAAUCCCAAGAACGAGUUGUUUGGGGUUGAAGAACCGAAUCAGGGAAGACAGAUAGGACCUCAGGGUGGUCAGAUAACAAGGAAGCUUCAUGCUCAGUAAGCAUUGCAGAGAACCCCUUAAAAGCAUGGUGAUAAGAAUGGAUUAAAGAUAUUCUGUCACUCUCCUGGCUGGGUAUAAUGGAUGACAAUAAAUGCAAAUGGGCUGACUCUGCAAUUCUGGCACCUACUUCUCCCUUGUGAUCAUCCCCUGAACUUCCCAUAUAAACAAUGUAGGGCUUCGUUCUUUGAAGUAGUGCUGUGGAAGAGAUAAGGGGACACGAUAGAAAGCAGAACAGAAGCAGAAGCAGAAGCUGAAAGGAAGCCAUGGGAUGAGCAGCUUUGCAAAAGUAUUGGAUUGAUUAUUGCAAUGAAUUAUUGCAAU